UUGACAGAAGAUAGAGAGCACAUA
rnacentral:miRNA from 1 species